rnacentral:tRNA from 1 species
GUAAAAGUGGCUCAGAGGUUAGGAGCACUGGCUGCUCUUCCAGAAUACCUGGGUUCAAUUCCCAGCAACCACA